AUUGAACGCUGGCGGCAGGCCUAACACAUGCAAGUCGAGCGGAUGAAGGGAGCUUGCUCCUGGAUUCAGCGGCGGACGGGUGUGUAAUGCCUAGGAAUCUGCCUGGUUUUGGGGUAUAACGUCCUGAAACGGGCGCUAAUACCGCAUACGUCCUGAGGCAGAAAGUGGGGGAUCUUCGGACCUCACGCUAUCUUAUGAGCCUAGGUCGGAUUAGCUAGUUGGUGGGGUAAAGGCCUACCAAGGCGACGAUCCGUAACUGGUCUGAGAGGAUGAUCAGUCACACUGGAACUGAGACACGGUCCAGACUACUACGGGAGGCAGCAGUGGGGAAUAUUGGACAAUGGGCGAAAGCAUGAUACAGCCAUGCCGAGUGUGUGAAGAAGGUCUUCGGAUUGUAAAGCACUUUAAGUUGGGAGGAAGGGCAGUAAGUUAAUACCUUGCUGUUUUGACGUUAACAACAGAAUAAGCACCGGCUAACUUCGUG
rnacentral:rRNA from 1 species